rnacentral:rRNA from 1 species
GGAGGAAAAGAAACCAACAGGGAUUGCCCUAGUAACGGCGAGUGAAGCGGCAACAGCUCAAAUUUGAAAUCUGGCCUCGGCCCGAGUUGUAAUUUGCAGAGGAUGCUUCUGGCGCGGUGCCUUCCGAGUUCCCUGGAACGGGACGCCACAGAGGGUGAGAGCCCCGUAUGGUCGGACACCAAGCCUGUGUGAAGCUCCUUCGACGAGUCGAGUAGUUUGGGAAUGCUGCUCUAAAUGGGAGGUAAAUCUCUUCUAAAGCUAAAUACCGGCCAGAGACCGAUAGCGCACAAGUAGAGUGAUCGAAAGAUGAAAAGCACCUUGAAAAGGGGGUUAAAUAGUACGUGAAAUUGUUGAAAGGGAAGCACUUGUGACCAGACUUGGGCCGGGCGGCUCAUCAGGGGUUCUCCCCUGUGCACUCCGCCCGGCACAGGCCAGCAUCGGUUUUCGCGGGGGGAUAAGACCGCCGGGAACGUAGCACCCUCCGGGGUGUGUUAUAGCCCGGCGGACGAUACCCCCGCGGGGACCGAGGUCCGCGCUCCGCAAGGAUGCUGGCGUAAUGGUCACCAGUGACCCGUCUUGAAACACGGACCAAGGAGUCGUCCAUUAGAGCGAGCGUUUGGGUGUAAAACCCGCACGCGUAAUGAAAGUGAACGCAGGUGAGAGCUUCGGCGCAUCAUCGACCGAUCCUGAUGUUCUCGGAAGGAUUUGAGUAAGAGUUUUAACGGACGGACCCGAAAGACAGUGAACUAUGCUUGUAUAGGGUGAAGCCAGAGGAAACUCUGGUGGAGGCUCGCAGCGGUUCUGACGUGCAAAUCGAUCGUCAAAUAUGAGCAUGGGGGCGAAAGACUAAUCGAACUGUCUAGUAGCUGGUUACCGCCGAAGU